rnacentral:tRNA from 1 species
GAGCAGUUAAUUCAACGGUAGAAUAUUUUAUUUACACUAAAAAUGAUAUUGGUUCGAAUCCAAAUAUUGCUCUC